rnacentral:rRNA from 1 species
UACGUAGGGUGCAAGCGUUAAUCGGAAUUACUGGGCGUAAAGCGUGCGCAGGCGGUUUUGUAAGUUUGUCGGGAAAUCCCCGGGCUCAACCUGGGAAUGGCGAUGAAGACUGCAAGGCUAGAGUUUGGCAGAGGGGGGUAGAAUUCCACGUGUAGCAGUGAAAUGCGUAGAUAUGUGGAGGAACACCAGCGGCGAAGGCGGCGCUCUGGGCCGGAACUGACGCUGAGGAGCGAAAGCGUGGGUAGCAAACAGG